rnacentral:rRNA from 1 species
GUCUACGGUCAUACCACCCUUAAUACACCCAUCUCGUCUGAUCUUGGAAGCUAAGCAGGGUCAGGCCUGGUUAGUACUUGGAUGGGAGAAUUGAGAUUUUAUUUUAAUUUAGUGAGACUUGAGAAGACACAUAGGCA